rnacentral:rRNA from 1 species
GGGUCCCUACGGGGCGCAGCAGUGAGGAAUAUUGGUCAAUGGGCGGGAGCCUGAACCAGCCAAGUCGCGUGAGGGAAGACGGUCCUAUGGAUUGUAAACCUCUUUAGGCGGGGAGCAAUGCCGGGCACGCGUGCCCGGAGGGAGAGUACCCGCAGAAUAAGCAUCGGCUAACUCCGUGCCAGCAGCCGCGGUAAUACGGAGGAUGCGAGCGUUAUCCGGAUUUAUUGGGUUUAAAGGGUGCGUAGGCGGACUGGAAAGUCAGCGGUAAAAUCGAGAGGCUCAACCUCUUUCUGCCGUUGAAACUG